UACGUAGGGUGCGAGCGUUAAUCGGAAUUACUGGGCGUAAAGCGUGCGCAGGCGGUUCGUUAAGUCAGCUGUGAAAGCCCCGGGCUCAACCUGGGAACUGCGGUUGAAACUGGCGAACUAGAAUCUGGCAGAGGGGGGUGGAAUUCCACGUGUAGCAGUGAAAUGCGUAGAGAUGCGGAGGAACACCGAUGGCGAAGGCAGCCCCCUGGGCUGAGAUUGACGCUCAGGCACGAAAGCGUGGGGAGCAAACAGG
rnacentral:rRNA from 1 species